GCCGUGUCAUUCCCAUCCAAUUCGUUGUGUCGCCCUCACUUCGCUCCGUCCGCUUCGAGUACCGACAGGGCAAAUUCACAUGACGCAGCACAACAAGGAAUCGAUUCUCGAUGUGGGUGUUCGGAAUUCGUCAAGGAUGGUGCAGUGCUAAAAUUUGCAGACGAAUAGAAGCCAGAGGAAGCAGUCUCAUCGAAGGACGCUCGGGCGCUGGAUUUGGGAGUCCGUUUUUCAGACGAUGCAAACUACAGUGAGCAAUGCGGCUCUGAAACAGCCAGGUGAUGGCGUAUGCAAGGACGGAGCAAUACAAGGUUGCAAAAUGUGAUUUGGAGGCGUGGCAAUUGUCGGCACAACUCUUUGUCUCAGGAUCUCCGAAUCGGGGGAUAGAAAUUUAAUUGGUUUUCAGACGGUGCAUGGGAAAAACAACCAUGAGAAGGAGAGUAGCUCGUAAAUUCAAAACCCAGGGAACAUCCUCUGAACUCUCUUAAAGCAGAAAGGCAACUGAACAUCAAAUACAACGAGUUAUACUGUAUAUCUGUUCGAGACUUUGAUGCUUGCCUUAAAUCUUGGACUUGUGUGGAUUGAUAUAACCUAAUCUGCUGGCGAUGCAUUUUGAUAGAAGUUCUCCUUCGCAAGGAGAAGGUGCUUCACCAGGUGGCAGGUAUGGUGUCAAUUCUUCAUAGUUCUUGUAUAAAAUUAACUUUGAAA